rnacentral:lncRNA from 1 species
CUCAACCCUCCCCCUAUACCUAUACCAAUGCGUAAACAGAUCAAAUCUUGUAGAAAGUUGGAUGACAUCAUACCGGACCGAUGUUGCCUUUUAGCCAACCAAAGUCAUACGGAGAACUUUUAUUGUUUCUGUAGUUAGGUCGACAUUGUCUUGGAUAAAAUUUUGACCCCCAGAAGAAAAAUAAUGCCAUGUAGAAUGUAUGCCCCAUUUUCAAUUUUUCUAAUCUCCUGAUCAGUCA